GGGACUUUGUGGUGUUGUGGUAAAAGCCUUGUCUCUCAAGUGAGAGGUUGCUGGUUCGAAUCUGGCUUGUCCCC